UACGUAGGGUGCAAGCGUUGUCCGGAAUUAUUGGGCGUAAAGAGCUCGUAGGCGGUUUGUCGCGUCCGCUGUGAAAGCCCCGGGCUCAACCUGGGAAUGGCAGUGGAAACUAGCGAGCUAGAGUGUGUCAGAGGGGGGUGGAAUUCCACGUGUAGCAGUGAAAUGCGUAGAGAUGUGGAGGAACACCAAUGGCGAAGGCAGCCCCCUGGGAUAACACUGACGCUCAGGCACGAAAGCGUGGGGAGCAAACAGG
rnacentral:rRNA from 1 species